AUUGAACGCUGGCGGCAGGCCUAACACAUGCAAGUCGAGCGGAUGAGUGGAGCUUGCUCCAUGAUUCAGCGGCGGACGGGUGAGUAAUGCCUAGGAAUCUGCCUGGUAGUGGGGGACAACGUUUCGAAAGGAACGCUAAUACCGCAUACGUCCUACGGGAGAAAGUGGGGGAUCUUCGGACCUCACGCUAUCAGAUGAGCCUAGGUCGGAUUAGCUAGUUGGUGAGGUAAAGGCUCACCAAGGCGACGAUCCGUAACUGGUCUGAGAGGAUGAACAGUCACACUGGAACUGGAACACGGUCCAGACUCCUACGGGAGGCAGCAGUGGGGAAUAUUGGACAAUGGGCGAAAGCCUGAUCCAGCCAUGCCGCGUGUGUGAAGAAGGUCUUCGGAUUGUAAAGCACUUUAAGUUGGGAGGAAGGGCAGUAAGUUAAUACCUUGCUGUUUUGACGUUACCAACAGAAUAAGCACCGGCUAACUUCGUGCCAGCCGCCGCAGUAAUAC
rnacentral:rRNA from 1 species